rnacentral:rRNA from 1 species
UACGUAGGGUCCGAGCGUUGUCCGGAAUUAUUGGGCGUAAAGGGCUCGUAGGCGGUUCGUCGCGUCGGGAGUGAAAACUCGGAGCUCAACUCCGAGCCUGCUUCCGAUACGGGCAGACUAGAGGUAGGCAGGGGAGAGCGGAACUCCUGGUGUAGCGGUGGAAUGCGCAGAUAUCAGGAAGAACACCGGUGGCGAAGGCGGCUCUCUGGGCCUUACCUGACGCUGAGAGCGAAAGCGUGGGGAGCGAACAG